rnacentral:lncRNA from 1 species
AAACUUUGAGUUUUCAAAUUAAAUGAAAAUAAUUUUAAGUAUUAUGUAGUGCAAUGUUAUUUUAGUAUUUUUAUAUUUAAAGAAAAUUUUGGAUUAUAUUUGAAAAUAUUAUAUUAUUAAGUAUAUAAGUGUUUAUCAUUGAUUAAAUUCUAGAGUUUUCAAAUUAAGUGAUAUUAAAAUAAAUGUUCAUAAUUUUUAGACCUAUAAUCUAAUGGUUAUGAUUAAUUCACUUAAAAUACCCUGAACUUUACGAUUUGUAACGAUUGUAUUUAUUUUGACCUUAACCACCUAAACACUUCAAUUUCAAAUUUUUGUAAUAAUUGUACUCCAAUUUCACAAUCUAGAUAAAAAAAUAAUAAAAAAUAAAAACAGUGGGACCCACUCUGACACAUGAGUUAACCUAACCUAGCUUCGGUAAAAAAUUAAGAUGCGGCAAUUUCAUUUAGAUGAGAAAUCUCUCUCAUCUCUCUCCUUCCUUCACCAUCCUGUUUCAAAUCCCUAAACCUAAUUUCUCAAUCUCCUCAAUUGCAUUGCAUUUUCCUCAAAUUCGACCUCUAACCAAAAUUCCUCUUCAGUGGUGAUUAUUGUUGAAUAUAGAGUUGUAAUGAAGAAGAAUAAAGAUAGGUAAAUCCCCAAAAAAAUCUUUUUCGUUUAUAGAAAACCAUUUUGCGAAGAUGUCAGUGGUAGCAUGUCAACAUCAUCAGAACCCUUAGAAAAAAAUUGGGAUCUCAUAGGACUCAAGAUAUUGAAUUACUAAGUUAUCUGAGUGGGGGAAGAGAGUUGUACCAUGAUCUUGUUAGAAGGCAGCAAUCUCGCUGGAGUAAGAACUUGAAAAAAGCCAAUAGACAGAGUAGAUAGGAGAGAUCUAUGUAAGAGGGAAAGAAAAUCAAAAAUGGAUUCAUCAUUAAGCAAUUAAAGGGCUACGGCUUUCGCGGGCAAUCAAGGCACAGAUCCCUAGCUUGUCUCCAGUUUCUUCUAAUAAAAAACAGGUUCAUCGGUGAAGUUCAAUUUCUUUAUUGAUCUCUUUGUUUUCUCUUCAAUUUAUUCAAUCAUAAGAUCUUUGUACAAAUGGAUUUGAAGCACAAGGAAAGCAAAAAAGAAAGUUUGAUUCAAUUUAGAGAGGGAGGAGUGUAAAUUAAGUUAUUUCAUGACAGUUUAAUAAGUAAAAGAUGGGUGAUCUAUCCACAUUUGAGCCAGUUUCUAGGUGUUAAAACUUGUUUUGAGUGCACCUCUUUCAAUUUAUCCGGUUUGAGAUGUGUAUGCUGAUUAUUUUUCAUUGUGCCCAGAGUUCAAUAAGCCAUGAGAGAAAAAGAAUGAUGCUUUUAGGGUUUUGUGAGUGUCUAAUAAAAUGGUGCUUUCCAACUUGACAUGGCUUGAGUAAGGCUAACUCAUGUGUCAAGAGUGGGUCUCGCCGUUUUUAUUUUUUAUUCAUUUCUUCAACUCAGAUUUUAAAUUGGUGUUCAAUUAUUAUAAAAGUUUAAAUUGGAGUGUCGAAGAGGUUAAGGUCAAAACGAGGUACGAUCAUUACAACUCACAAAAUUCAAAAUAUUUUAAAUGAAUUACUUAAUGGUUAUCAUUUUUGAAAAAAAGAAAACAAUAUAAGAAAUAAAUGAACAAUGAUUGAUUGGUAUAAAAUGAACCAAUCAUCAUAUAGAAGGUAGGGACCAAUUAGAUAAGGGAGAGAUAGAGGAGUUGUUUGGGCUAUAUCCGCAAUUUUUG